rnacentral:rRNA from 1 species
GUUCUUUUGAAUUUUAUUUAAGAUCUGACCUGCCCAUUGAUUUUAUUUAUUAAAAGGCUGCGGUAUUUUAACUGUACUAAGGUAGCAUAAUAAUUUGUCUUUUAAUUGAAGGCUUGUAUGAAUGGUUUGAUGAGAAAUAUUCUUUCUUAUUUUUAAUUAUUUGAAUUUAAUUUUUUAGUUAAAAAGCUAAAAUUUUUUUAUAGGACGAGAAGACCCUUUAGAAGUUUACUUUAUUUAUAUAUAUAUUUUUUUUGUUUAUGUAAAUUUUAUUUAUAUUUUUAAGUUUUAUUGGGGUGAUAUUAAAAUUUUUUUAACUUUUAAUUUUCUUUUUCAUUGAUUUUUGUUUUUUUUUGAUCCAAUUUUUUUUUGAUUAUAAGAUUAACUUACCUAAGGGAUAACAGCGUAAUUUAUUUGGAGAGUUCUUAUUGAUAAAUAAGUUUGCGA